UAUUAUAAUUAAUUUUAAUUGUUAAUCAGGGUAGUAAAAGGGAUUUCUUGAAACUCAAAGGAUUUGGCGGUGUUUUAGUCUUUUCAGAGGAAUCUGUUCUGUAAUUGAUAAUACACGAUUUGUUAUACUUAAUUUGGUUAUCAGUUUAUAUACCUCCGUCAUAAGAUUAUUUUUAUUUAAGAAUUAAAUUUUCUUGUUUUUAUAUUAUAAAUUAUGUCAGGUCAAGGUGUAGCUUAUGAUUAAGGAGAAAUGGAUUACAAUAAUUUUAAUUAUUAUGGAUAAUUAUUUUAGAUUAAUUUGAAGGUGGAUUUGAUUGUAAAUUUAUUUUUGAUUUUUUUAUUGAUUGGAGCUCUAAAAUGUGUACAUAUCGCCCGUCGCUCUCAUCAUUUAAAUUGAG
rnacentral:rRNA from 1 species